rnacentral:lncRNA from 10 species
GGCAUAAAGACAAACUUUAUUGAGCCCCUUAGCACUAGUUCUCUUUCUCCUGCACAGUCUUGGUUCCCCAGAGACGUCCAGUCUGGCGGGCAGCAAUGAGACCCAUUUUGCAGCCAGCAGGGUCAUCUCUGAGAUGGCGGAGGGGAUGCCGAUGUGCUGGUGGUUGCCACCUCCAAAAGGAUGCUCCAUAGGGUUCAUGGCCACAUCCCAUACUCGUGGCCACCAGUUCCUCUUUGCCUUAUAUUUGUGGUAGGCUUGGCAAGCCUUCAAGAUGGGUUUGUCAGUUCGGCCACCUCCAGCCACCACACCAACCACAGCUCUGUUGGCUGAGGAGACAACCUUCUUGGAGCCAGAGGGCAGCACACGAUCAUACCCUCAGGCAUGGUGCCCACAGGGAGCACACUGCCAAUGUUGAGCUGGGCCUUCUUGCCGCAAUACACAAACUGGCCCGUGUGAAUGCCCUCGGCAGCAAUGAAAAGCUCCGUCCGCUUCUUAAACCAGUACGGGUCGCGGAAGACCACCUUGGGGAGGGGCGCGCUGUGACCCGAGUUGUGGAUGAUGG